AAGACCUUGCGCUUUUGGAGCGGCCGAUGCCUGAUUAGCUUGUUGGUAAGGUAAAAGCUUACCAAGGCUUCGAUCAGUAGCUGGUCUGAGAGGACGACCAGCCACACUGGGACUGAGACACGGCCCAGACUCCUACGGGAGGCAGCAGUGGGGAAUUUUGGACAAUGGGGGCAACCCUGAUCCAGCCAUGCCGCGUGAGUGAAGAAGGCCUUCGGGUUGUAAAGCUCUUUCAGCCGGAACGAAACGGUUACGGUUAAUACCCGUGAUUACUGACGGUACCGGAAGAAGAAGCACCGGCUAACUACGUGCCAGCAGCCGCGGUAAUACGUAGGGUGCGAGCGUUAAUCGGAAUUACUGGGCGUAAAGCGUGCGCAGGUGGUUUUGUGAGUCAGAUGUGAAAGCCCCGGGCUCAACCUGGGAACU
rnacentral:rRNA from 1 species